rnacentral:rRNA from 1 species
CUACGGGGCGCAGCAGUGGGGAAUAUUGCACAAUGGGCGCAAGCCUGAUGCAGCCAUGCCGCGUGUAUGACGAAGGCCUUCGGGUUGUAAAGUACUUUCAGCGGGGAGGAAGGGAGUAAAGUUAAUACCUUUGCUCAUUGACGUUACCCGCAGAAGAAGCACCGGCUAACUCCGGGCCAGCAGCCGCGGUAAUACGGGAGGGUGCAAGCGUUGAUCGGAAUUACUGGGCGUAAAGCGCACGCAGGCGGUUUGUUAAGUCAGAUGUGAAAUCCCCGGGCUCAACCUGGGAACUGCAUCUGAUACUGGCAAGCUUGAGUCUCGUAGAGGGGGGUAGAAUUCCAGGUGGAGCGGUGAAAUGCGUAGAGAUCUGGAGGAAUACCGGUGGCGAAGGCGGCCCCCUGGACGAAGACUGACGCUCAGGUGCGAAAGCGUGGGGAGCAAACAGGAUUAGAUACCCCCGUAGUC